ensembl:ncRNA F57C7.8 ncRNA
GACACGAAAUUUGUUGAGGGCAAGAAAAGAAAAAGCCGAGAUAGGGAGAGUCGGAGAGAGACAAGACACCCGUGGCUUGCUUGCCCAUCUCAUUACGCACUGCGGUCGGGAGGGUCCACUCGCGGAGGGCUUUACCCUCUUCGUCGGCUCUCUUUAAUUUAUCCGCUUACCCUCUACUGCUACCCUUUUCGACUUACUUGACCAGUCACCCCUAACGU